AUUGAACGCUGGCGGCAGGCUUAACACAUGCAAGUCGAGCGGAGAUGAGGUGCUUGCACCUUAUCUUAGCGGCGGACGGGUGAGUAAUGCUUAGGAAUCUGCCUAUUAGUGGGGGACAACAUUCCGAAAGGAAUGCUAAUACCGCAUACGCCCUACGGGGGAAAGCAGGGGAUCUUCGGACCUUGCGCUAAUAGAUGAGCCUAAGUCGGAUUAGCUAGUUGGUGGGGUAAGGGCCUACCAAGGCGACGAUCUGUAGAGGGUCUGAGAGGAUGAUCCGCCACACUGGGACUGAGACACGGCCCAGACUCCUACGGGAGGCAGCAGUGGGGAAUAUUGGACAAUGGGCGCAAGCCUGAUCCAGCCAUGCCGCGUGUGUGAAGAAGGCCUUAUGGUUGUAAAGCACUUUAAGCGAGGAGGAGGCUACUUUAGUUAAUACCUAGGGAUAGUGGACGUUACUCGCAGAAUAAGCACCGGCUAACUCUGUGCCAGCCGCCGCUGUAACAC
rnacentral:rRNA from 1 species